UUGCUCUUCCUCCCUCAAACUGGGAGGAUAUGGUAAUCAAACCCAGUAACAUUUGGGAAAAACCAAACAGACGCGAGAGGAAGGGUUUCGUUACCCCUGGUACCCAGCUCCCAUCAGUCUCUCCUCCUGGGACAGAGCAGAGGUGGCACAUAGCCAUCCAGCUGUAGGCACCUGGUAGAGCAGAGGACUUUCUCCUCUCAACCAAAGGGACACCUGCUUCUUGAAACCAUCAGUCCUCCCCCCAAGGUGCUUGCAACCACACUCACGAAUUCUGCAGGAUGAGCUGUGAUUCUCACUGUGGAGGCCCAACGUUGGAGACCACACUCAGAAAACAGAACAAGAAAAGGAGUCAGUACCUCUGGAGGCCAUGAGGGCUGCAGGGCCCUUGGGGCCUGAUCCUUGGGGUCUCAAUGGUUUUCUCACAGCUCUCUGUUAUUCUAGGAUAAAAGGAAGAGAAAAACAAACUGUGGGAUAAAGUGGGGACAACUGUGAUGAAGGCUGGUCUCAUGGUCCUUUCUGGACAGCAGAGCCAGAGAGGUCAGUUAGAUCCCAAUUAGAUCCAAGGAAAACAUGAUCAGCUGUAGACAAGGCCAUGAGAACGGACUGAAUCUGCUCAGGAGAGAUGAGAAGCAAGGGUCUGGCCCCUGGGGUGGGAACUGUGUGUCGCGGUGAUCGAUGACCGGUAAUAUCAUCUGGGGCUCUGCGAAGAGAAGAAACCCUGAGUCUCACGCUUGGCUCUGUCCAGCGUCAAGAGGGCAUCUUAUUAUACAGUGCAGUGAGAAAGUUUUGCCAGUCACAGAAGCUGGUGCCUGGCACAUGCUCUGAGCCUCCCCAGCCUCCUACUGUGGACUAAGUAAAUGUC
ensembl:lncRNA